CACAACUGAAAGCUUUGAGAGAGGCUGCUGCUAAUGAGGUCUUAAAGAUGGGAUUUUACUUGAAGACUGUUAAUUUGUGUAACCAUACCUGUUGCUGCAAUGGAAGAUUGUCUCUUCCUGUAAAACCUUGUUCUGAUGAAGUGAUGGGACUUUUGGUUUAUUUGAGCAAAAAGCAGCCUAUGAGCAGCAGUCAGUGUCUCUGUCAUGGAAGAAACUAUUACCCAAACAGAUGAAGAGAUUCAUUAUUUCACAGUUUUAUGCCUACUGAGCCAUACUAGACUGUAAAUACUGUUCAAGACUCUAUAGGGGCCAUCUUCCAUUUAGGAGAGAGUGGGUGAAAGAACAAGGAAAGAGUAAGGAGAAAAAUGGAAGUGAGAAUGAUCAAAAAUCAAAUAUAUCAAGAUUGUGAUAGUCUAGAAACCAACCAAACACUCUUCAAGUGCAACAAUGAAAGAAAGAGAGAAAGAGUGAGUGAGAGAAUUGUCCCUGCCUGCCU